AGGACGAACGCUUGCGACGUGCCUAAGAAAUGCAAGUCGAACGGACCAGCAGCAAUGCUGGUUAGUGGCGAACGGUCGCGUAACACGUGGGCAACCUGCCCUGAAGCGGGGGACAACAACUCGAAAGAGUUGCUAAUACCGCAUGUGUAUCGCUGUGGCAUCACAGAGGAUACAAAGCCGCAAGGCACUUCAGGAUGGGCCCGCGGCCUAUCAGCUUGUUGGUGAGGUAACGGCUCACCAAGGCUUCGACGGGUAGCUGGUCUGAGAGGACGAUCAGCCGGAUUGGGACUGAGAUACGGCCCAGACUCCUACGGGGGGCAGCAAUUAGGAAUCUUGCACAAUGGGCGAAAGCCUGAUGCAGCGACGUCGCGUGAAGGAUGAAAUCUUUCGGGAUGUAAACUUCUUUUACCAGGGAAGAAAUAAUGACGGUACCUGGUGAAUAAGCCCCGGCUAACUACGUGCCAGCAGCCGC
rnacentral:rRNA from 1 species